rnacentral:rRNA from 1 species
AUUGAACGCUGGCGGCAGGCCUAACACAUGCAAGUCGAGCGAGCGGCGGACGGGUGAGUAAUAUAUAGGAAGUGCCCGGUAGCGGGGGAUAACUACUGGAAAGGGUAGCUAAUACCGCAUACUAUCGGAGAACCGAUAUGGGAUUAGCUAGUUGGUGAGGUAAUGGCUCACCUAGGCAACGAUGCGUAGCUGGUCUGAUAGGACGAUCAGCCACACGGUGACUGAGACACGGCCCAGACUCCUACGGAGGCAGCAGUGGGGAAUGUUGGACAAUGGGCGAAAGCCUGAUCCAGCCAGCCCGCGUGUAUGAUGAAGGCCUUCGGGUUGUAAAGUACUUUUGGUAGAGAAGCGGUAUCUACAGAAGAAGCACCGGCUAACUACGUGCCAGCAGCCGCGGUAAUUC